rnacentral:rRNA from 1 species
GUCUUCGAGUCGUUGAUUUCACACUGCCGAGAAAAGCCUCUAGAUAGAAAAUAGGUGCCCGUACCGCAAACCGACACAGGCAGUCAAGAUGAGAAUUCUAAGGUGAGCGAGCGAACUCUCGUUAAGGAACUCGGCAAAAUGACCCCGUAACUUCGGGAGAAGGGGUGCUCUUUAGGGUUAACGCCCAGAAGAGCCGCAGCGAAUAGGC